rnacentral:rRNA from 2 species
UUGGUGAGGUAACGGCUCACCAAGGCAACGAUGCGUAGCCGACCUGAGAGGGUGAUCGGCCACACUGGGACUGAGACACGGCCCAGACUCCUACGGGAGGCAGCAGUAGGGAAUCUUCCGCAAUGGACGAAAGUCUGACGGAGCAACGCCGCGUGAGUGAUGAAGGUUUUCGGAUCGUAAAACUCUGUUGUUAGGGAAGAACAAGUACCGUUCGAAUAGGGCGGUACCUUGACGGUACCUAACCAGAAAGCCACGGCUAACUACGUGCCAGCAGCCGCGGUAAUACGUAGGUGGCAAGCGUUGUCCGGAAUUAUUGGGCGUAAAGCGCGCGCAGGCGGUUUCUUAAGUCUGAUGUGAAAGCCCCCGGCUCAACCGGGGAGGGUCAUUGGAAACUGGGGAACUUGAGUGCAGAAGAGGAGAGUGGAAUUCCACGUGUAGCGGUGAAAUGCGUAGAGAUGUGGAGGAACACCAGUGGCGAAGGCGACUCUCUGGUCUGUAACUGACGCUGAGGCGCGAAAGCGUGGGGAGCGAACAGGAUUAGAUACCCUGGUAGUCCACGCCGUAAACGAUGAGUGCUAAGUGUUAGAGGGUUUCCGCCCUUUAGUGCUGCAGCAAACGCAUUAAGCACUC